rnacentral:rRNA from 1 species
GACGAACGCUGGCGGCGCGCCUAACACAUGCAAGUCGAACGAGCGAGAGAGAGCUUGCUUUCUCGAGCGAGUGGCGAACGGGUGAGUAACGCGUGAGGAACCUGCCUCAAAGAGGGGGACAACAGUUGGAAACGACUGCUAAUACCGCAUAAGCCCACGACCCGGCAUCGGGUAGAGGGAAAAGGAGCAAUCCGCUUUGAGAUGGCCUCGCGUCCGAUUAGCUAGUUGGUGAGGUAACGGCCCACCAAGGCGACGAUCGGUAGCCGGACGGAGGGGUUGAACGGCCACAUUGGGACUGAGACACGGCCCAGACUCCUACGGGAGGCAGCAGUGGGGAAUAUUGCACAAUGGGGGAAACCCUGAUGCAGCGACGCCGCGUGGAGGAAGAAGGUCUUCGGAUUGUAAAAUCCUGUUGUUGAGGAAGAUAAUGACGGUACUCAACAAGGAAGUGACGGCUAACUACGUG